UACGGAGGGAGCUAGCGUUGUUCGGAAUUACUGGGCGUAAAGCGCACGUAGGCGGCUUUGUAAGUUAGAGGUGAAAGCCCGGGGCUCAACUCCGGAACUGCCUUUAAGACUGCAUCGCUUGAAUCCGGGAGAGGUGAGUGGAAUUCCGAGUGUAGAGGUGAAAUUCGUAGAUAUUCGGAAGAACACCAGUGGCGAAGGCGGCUCUCUGGGACGGUACUGACGCUGAGACGCGAAAGCGUGGGGAGCGAACAGG
rnacentral:rRNA from 1 species